rnacentral:rRNA from 1 species
CCUGCGGAAGGAUCAUUGUCGAAAGCGAACGGAAGAACGACCCGCGAAUCGUCAUUGCGUACUAGACAGAGCCCGUGAGCGCCUAACGCUCAUGGGGCUCGCGUCGCGUCGGCGCGGGUGUACUCGAGACCCGCGUCGCACCGGCGGACGAACAAAGUCAGCACGGAUCGUGCCAAGGAGCUUUACGGAGAGAAUCGUCGUCCCACGCCUUUGAUGGUCCUCGAUGAUGCGGGACGGGGGGCGGGGGACGUACGCAAUCUCUACUCAAGUCAAAACGACUCUCGGCAACGGAUAUCUCGGCUCUUGCAUCGAUGAAGAACGUAGCGAAAUGCGAUACUUGGUGUGAAUUGCAGAAUCCCGCGAACCAUCAAAUCUUUGAACGCAAGUUGCGCCCGAAGCCAUUCGGCCGAGGGCACGCCUGCCUGGGUGUCGUGAAUCCCCUUGCCCCUAGGCACCCCGCACGAGCAUCGGCGGGGAUAUAUGCUCGGGCGCAGAAUGUGGUCUCCCGUGGGAUCGGCAGUGCAUGUCGAGGUGCGGUUGGCCGAAAAUCGAGCAUGGCGGUGACGGGCACCACGGCGUUCGGUGGAUCGAAUGAGAUUGGCUCCGCCGUGGGCUCGGCAUUCGGCGGGCUCCGGACUUUGAAUAUCCCCGAGUGCGAUCCCAGGUCAGGCGGGGCUACCCGCUGAGUUUAAGCAUAUCAAUAAGCGGAGGAAAAGAAACUAACGAGGAUUCCCUUAGUAGCGGCGAGCGAACCGGGAAGAGCCCAGCGUGAAAAUCGUCCGUCAUCGGCGGCCGAAUUGUAGUCUGGAGAAGCGUCCU